rnacentral:rRNA from 1 species
AGUGAACGCUGGCGGUAGGCCUAACACAUGCAAGUCGAACGGCAGCACAGUAAGAGCUUGCUCUUACGGGUGGCGAGUGGCGGACGGGUGAGGAAUACAUCGGAAUCUACUUUUUCGUGGGGGAUAACGUAGGGAAACUUACGCUAAUACCGCAUACGACCUACGGGUGAAAGCAGGGGAUCUUCGGACCUUGCGCGAUUGAAUGAGCCGAUGUCGGAUUAGCUAGUUGGCGGGGUAAAGGCCCACCAAGGCGACGAUCCGUAGCUGGUCUGAGAGGAUGAUCAGCCACACUGGAACUGAGACACGGUCCAGGCUACUACGGGAGGCAGCAGUGGGGAAUAGUGGACAGUGGGCGCAAGCAUGAUCCAGCCAUACCGCGUGGGUGAAGAAGGCCUUCGGGUUGUAAAGCCCUUUUGUUGGGAAAGAAAAGCAGCAGGUUAAUACCCCGCUGUUCUGACGGUACCCAAAGAAUAAGCACCGGCUAACUUCGUG